rnacentral:rRNA from 1 species
UACGAGUGCCUCAAGCGUUAUCCGGAAUUAUUGGGCGUAAAGGGUGUGUAGGCGGUCUUGUUAGCCUUCUGUGAAAGUCUCCGGCUUAACCGGGGUUCUGCAGAGGAAACGGCAAGACUCGAGGAUGCGAGAGGUGAAUGGAACUCAUAGUGUAGGGGUGAAAUCCGUUGAUAUUAUGGGGAACACCAAAAGCGAAGGCAAUUCACUGGCGCACUCCUGACGCUGAAACACGAAAGCGUGGGUAGCGAAUGGG